AGCGAACGCUGGCGGCAUGCCUAACACAUGCAAGUCGCACGGGGGGGCUUCGGCCUCCCAGUGGCGGACGGGUGAGGAACGCGUAGGGACCUGUCGAGGGGUGGGGGAUAACCGCGGGAAACUGCGGCUAAUACCGCAUGACGCCGCGGUGUGACAGCCGGGGCCAAAGGCGAAAGCCGCCCGCCGAGGGGCCUGCGUCCGAUUAGCUGGUUGGCGGGGUAGCGGCCCACCAAGGCGUCGAUCGGUAGCUGGUCUGAGAGGGUGAUCAGCCACACCGGGACUGAGACACGGCCCGGACUCCUACGGGAGGCAGCAGUGGGGAAUAUUGGACAAUGGGCGCAAGCCUGAUCCAGCAAUGCCGCGUGGGUGAAGAAGGUCUUCGGAUUGUAAAGCCCUUUCGGCGGGGACGAUGGUGACGGUACCCGCAGAAGAAGCCCCGGCUAACUUCGUG
rnacentral:rRNA from 1 species